rnacentral:rRNA from 1 species
UACGGAGGAUCCAAGCGUUAUCCGGAAUCAUUGGGUUUAAAGGGUCCGUAGGCGGUUUAGUAAGUCAGUGGUGAAAGCCCAUCGCUCAACGGUGGAACGGCCAUUGAUACUGCCUACGUAUAAUUAUUAGGAAGUAACUAGAAUAUGUAGUGUAGCGGUGAAAUGCUUAGAGAUUACAUGGAAUACCAAUUGCGAAGGCAGGUUACUACUAAUGGAUUGACGCUGAUGGACGAAAGCGUGGGUAGCGAACAGGAUUAGAACCGUACGUACGUAGAUC